rnacentral:rRNA from 1 species
UUUAUGGAGAGUUUGAUCCUGGCUCAGGACGAACGCUGGCGGCGUGCUUAACACAUGCAAGUCGAACGGUCCGCAUAGAUAGCUUGCUAGCUAUGCGGA